rnacentral:lncRNA from 1 species
GAGGGAAGGAAGGGGAUAAAUCUAUGGGUUGGGUUGCUAGGUCGGGACCCGACUCCGUAGAACCGGUUGUCGCGGCGGCUAGCUUUCCGGGAGAUCUCUGGCGGAUCUAGCGUGUCGACGGAAAGAGAUCGCGGUUGGGAAUUGAACCCUUCCGACUGGUUUUUUCGAUCUAUCGACGCUGCUGUGAAGUUGGGUAUCUCGGGUUCACCGGAUCUAAUGCUCCGGCCACCGUGCAGUCGUCCAUCAGCAGGGUUCGAUCCUUCAAAUCUGUCUCCGGCAAAUUUCUUAUUAGGCUUUUUUGUAACUAGGUCAUAGUUUGUAAGGCUUUUUCCAAGCCCAUAUGGGAAGAUUUAAAUGAAUAUUAACUAAUUAAAAAAAAAAAAAAAAAAAAAAAAAAAAAAAAAAAAAUAUUUUGAUAUAUAAAAUACAGUUUUAACUAUAAAAAAAUAAAUCAAAACCCGAAACUGACAGACAAUAAUUUCCUUUUUUAAAAAACCAAUAUAUAAAAGCAAUGAAAAAGUUAAAUGUUUGGAUUUUAUGAAGAUAUGUAGUAGAUUGUGACUUGUGAGUAUAUGUUUUAUUUACUUAAUAAUUUAAGUAGAUAAUAAGAUUUAUAAAUAAAAAU